AGGUGAAAAAAAUUGUGAUGUAAAGUCAACUGAAAGUAAAUGGCUCAAUUUUAUUAACAGUAGAAACAAUGCAGGUAGCUGAAUAUAUAUUGCAUGAAACAUUCACAAAACAUUAAAAAAAUUUAAAAUAAAUAAAAUGCUUUCUUUACAAAAACAGAGAAAGAACACGGAUGGGGUGAGACAUAAAAAAAAAGUACCUACGUACCUAGCAUUCACAGUCCCCUAAUUAAAUUUGAUAAAACAAGUGGCGUUUUUUUGUUGUUGUUUGUUUUAGACAGAAUAGUUCCAGAGAUGCAAAGCAGUCCUUCUUUGCUACACAUCUAUAAAAACAAAAUGUGCAAAGUAAAAGAAAAUAUGUAGAUAACCAUCUUUUUGUUUUAUUCAGUGCGCUUACGUAGUCAAAACUGGCACUCGGAGGCAUUGGGGGGGGGGAAGAAAACACUGUACAGUAUAGAGAAAAAGAAAAAGAAAGCUCUGGUACCUAAAGUCACUGUUGUAAGAGUAUCUAAGCAGGAACACACUUU